rnacentral:rRNA from 1 species
GUUGUAUGGUUAAGUGACUAAGCGUACACGGUGGAUGCCUUGGCAGUCAGAGGCGAUGAAAGACGUAGUAACUUGCGAUAAGCCCAGAUUAGGUAGUAACAACCAUUUGAGUCUGGGAUUUCUGAAUGGGGAAACCCACGUGCAUAAGCACGUAUCCUUACCUGAAUACAUAGGGUAAGGAGGCGAACCGGGGGAACUGAAACAUCUAAGUACCCCGAGGAAAAGAAAUCAACCGAGAUUCCGAAAGUAGCGGCGAGCGAAAUUGGACUAGCCCUUAAGCUUUACACGCGUUAGACGAACGGUCUGGAAAGUCCGACGAUACAGGGUGAUAGUCCCGUAGUUGACGACGUGUGUUCAGUGAAAUCGAGUAGGGCGGGACACGUGAUAUCCUGUCUGAAUAUGGGGGGACCAUCCUCCAAGGCUAAAUACUACUGACUGACCGAUAGUGAACCAGUACCGUGAGGGAAAGGCGAAAAGAACCCCUGUGAGGGGAGUGAAAUAGAACCUGAAACCGUGUACGUACAAGCAGUAGGAGCAGGCUUUGUCCUGUGACUGCGUACCUUUUGUAUAAUGGGUCAGCGACUUAUAUUCAGUGGCAAGGUUAACCAUCUAGGGGAGCCGUAGGGAAACCGAGUCUUAACUGGGCGUUCAGUCUCUGGAUAUAGACCCGAAACCAGGUGAUCUAGCCAUGGGCAGGUUGAAGGUUGAGUAACAUCAACUGGAGGACCGAACCGACUAAUGUUGAAAAAUUAGCGGAUGACUUGUGGCUAGGGGUGAAAGGCCAAUCAAACCUGGAGAUAGCUGGUUCUCCCCGAAAGCUAUUUAGGUAGCGCCUCGGACGAAUACUACUGGGGGUAGAGCACUGUUAAGGCUAGGGGGUCAUCCCGACUUACCAACCCUUUGCAAACUCCGAAUACCAGUAAGUACUAUCCGGGAGACACACGGCGGGUGCUAACGUCCGUCGUGGAGAGGGAAACAACCCAGACCGCCAGCUAAGGUCCCAAAUUACUACUAAGUGGGAAACGAUGUGGGAAGGCUCAGACAGCCAGGAUGUUGGCUUAGAAGCAGCCAUCAUUUAAAGAAAGCGUAAUAGCUCACUGGUCGAGUCGGCCUGCGCGGAAGAUGUAACGGGGCUAAGUAGUAAACCGAAGCUGCGGCAAUGUGCUUUUGCACAUUGGGUAGGGGAGCGUUCUGUAAGCGGUUGAAGGUGUGUGGUAACGCAUGCUGGACGUAUCAGAAGUGCGAAUGCUGACAUGAGUAACGAUAAAGGGGGUGAAAAACCUCCUCGCCGGAAGACCAAGGGUUCCUGUCCAACGUUAAUCGGGGCAGGGUAAGUCGACCCCUAAGGCGAGGCCGAAAGGCGUAGUCGAUGGGAAACGGGUUAAUAUUCCCGUACUUCUUACAAUUGCGAUGGGGGGACGGAGAAGGCUAGGUGGGCCUGGCGACGGUUGUCCAGGUUCAAGUGCGUAGGCUUGAGAGUUAGGUAAAUCCGGCUCUCUUUAAGGCUGAGACACGACGUCGAGCCACUACGGUGGUGAAGUCAUUGAUGCCAUGCUUCCAGGAAAAGCCUCUAAGCUUCAGAUUGUAAGGAAUCGUACCCCAAACCGACACAGGUGGUCGGGUAGAGAAUACCAAGGCGCUUGAGAGAACUCGGGUGAAGGAACUAGGCAAAAUGGUACCGUAACUUCGGGAGAAGGUACGCUCUCGACGGUGAAGUCCCUUGCGGAUGGAGCUAUUGAGAGUCGCAGAUACCAGGUGGCUGCAACUGUUUAUUAAAAACACAGCACUGUGCAAAAUCGUAAGAUGACGUAUACGGUGUGACGCCUGCCCGGUGCCGGAAGGUUAAUUGAUGGGGUUAGACUUCGGUCGAAGCUCUUGAUCGAAGCCCCGGUAAACGGCGGCCGUAACUAUAACGGUCCUAAGGUAGCGAAAUUCCUUGUCGGGUAAGUUCCGACCUGCACGAAUGGCGUAAUGAUGGCCACGCUGUCUCCACCCGAGACUCAGUGAAAUUGAAAUCGCUGUGAAGAUGCAGUGUACCCGCGGCUAGACGGAAAGACCCCGUGAACCUUUACUACAGCUUGGCACUGAACAUUGACCCUACAUGUGUAGGAUAGGUGGGAGGCUUUGAAGCACGUACGCCAGUAUGUGUGGAGCCGUCCUUGAAAUACCACCCUUGUAGUGUUGAUGUUCUAACGUUGACCCCUAAUCGGGGUUGCGGACAGUGCCUGGUGGGUAGUUUGACUGGGGCGGUCUCCUCCCAAAGAGUAACGGAGGAGCACGAAGGUGGGCUAAUCACGGUUGGACAUCGUGAGGUUAGUGCAAUGGCAUAAGCCCGCUUGACUGCGAGAAUGACAAUUCGAGCAGGUGCGAAAGCAGGUCAUAGUGAUCCGGUGGUUCUGAAUGGAAGGGCCAUCGCUCAACGGAUAAAAGGUACUCCGGGGAUAACAGGCUGAUACCGCCCAAGAGUUCAUAUCGACGGCGGUGUUUGGCACCUCGAUGUCGGCUCAUCACAUCCUGGGGCUGAAGUCGGUCCCAAGGGUAUGGCUGUUCGCCAUUUAAAGUGGUACGCGAGCUGGGUUUAGAACGUCGUGAGACAGUUCGGUCCCUAUCUGCCGUGGGCGUUGGAAGAUUGAAGGGGGCUGCUCCUAGUACGAGAGGACCGGAGUGGACGAACCUCUGGUGUUCGGGUUGUGUCGCCAGACGCAUUGCCCGGUAGCUAAGUUCGGAAUCGAUAACCGCUGAAAGCAUCUAAGCGGGAAGCGAGCCCUGAGAUGAGUCUUCCCUGAUACUUUAAGUAUCCUAAAGGGUUGUCGGAGACUACGACGUUGAUAGGUCAGGUGUGUAAGUGCUGUGAGGCAUUGAGCUAACUGAUACUAAUUGCCCGUGAGGCUUAACCAUACAACACCCAAGGGGUUU